AUAUCUGAGGCCUUCUGAAGGCCUUGAAGUGCUUGGUCUUGACAUGACAAUUGAUGGCUGCUGGCUGUACAAACACAAAGGCCUGGAGUAUAAGUAGAGCCAGAUGGAACUGGAAUUGCACUGUGUAUUCUUCCUAAAUAAGUGAAAGACUUAUAAAUUGAUGAAAUUUCUUUGCUCAUGCAGAUGUUUUGUGCCUCCUGUACCGAACUGGGCUCUCUGUGUCACGUUUGCUGUCACCAUGUGCUGCUGAGUUCAUAGUGCUCUGACAAGAGCAGUGCGGGGCCCUGCUGCAGAUGGGGCUGGGAUGGUGUAGUGCCCUCUAAGUGAACUCUCAAGUCUUCUCUAGCAGAGGGAGAGCCCUUGCCAAGCUUGUCAGACAGCGAUGUGCAGAGCCGUUCUCUGUCAAUGGGUUUGUUGGGCAAAGUCAGGGCUUGACAAAGAAGAAGUAGAUGCCAGCACAUCCUGGCAUGGCAGCACCAUACGGAUCCAUCCUCCUGCUGCUACCCUUCAGCUGAUGGCACCGGAAGUCUUCCCAUCAGAAAGCUCAAUCUUCUUUUCAUACAUCUUAGAGGAAAAUUGGGUGUCGCUUUCUGCUGAGUCUACUGCCUACUUGGUCCUUAACAGCCCACUUUGUCCCUGUAACCAAAGCCCUAGGUCCGAGUAAAGGAUAACAGGAAAAAAAAAGGUAUUUUAAAAUUGCUAAAUGUUAAUGGUUGCUGUUUCAGAAGUUAGACUUUGAGUAAACACCACAGGUUUAUUUUUCAACUGUCCCUAAGAAAUAACAAAGAUGAUAAAGACUUGUUUUUCCUUUAAUACCAUAUGGUCUUCCUUCCACUUGUGACAACUUUUCAGGAACUGCUCUUAAGACAAAAUUUCUGAUUGAACUCUAAGGUUGGGGAAGGAGCAAUAUGGAAGAUUUUUGGUGCAAGCCCUGUCUCUGCCCUAGGUGUGUAGUACACUCAUAACUGACUGGAGGCAUGACAUGACUGCACAUUUCUCAGAGUUAGCCUUAUACAGCUGGAAAAGUGAUCCCUUUUACUUGGGAAAGAAGCUGAGUUCCAUCAUUACAGAGCUGUGCAUGCAUCUGGUUAACAUUUCUUCCAAGAUAAAGUUACUAAAACAUUCCCCACUAAGUUUUAUAGAAUGUUUCUCUCUUCCCCGCAGGAAGUGUGGGCAGUGUGUGCAUUUACUUUCUGUGAUUAUGCUGUGUUUAGAGCAUCACCAGGCACUGUUUUAAGCAAAUGAUGCCAAAAUUUAGGGACGAUAAGCAAUGAAAUUUGAGGAAGCUACAAAUCUGACUUUUAUCACUGCUUUGCUUACCCUGAAGCCUCGAACUGUACUGUGGAAGCAUCCUGAGACUAUGCUUAUUCUUGUAGGACUCAAAAUCGUGCAGAAAUCAGUUAAUGCAUCAUUUGCCUCACUGCCAAAGUGUGUUCUCCUACUAAGAAGGGACCAGCAUCUCUUCAGUGUUACUUGAAGUAGUUGUAGUGACUUUUUUUCAGCAUCUUCUCUUCUGACUUGCAUUCUGUGAAGAAAACACCAUCAGUGGGCCAAGGUGACCUCAAGCACAUCCCUAAUUUAUUUUUACUUGCUGUCCAGAACUCUAGUAGCAAGAAGCAGGUGUCCCCCUUUUAGGAUAUUAGACUUUCCUUUAGCCCAUGUUCCCAGUGGUCUCUUUAGAACAGUGAUCCUUUCUCAUAAUCCUCUGUCCAUCCUCCAGCAGAAGAAGCUCCCCUAUAAUUAGUACCACUGGUACUGCCAAUGGAUUCCAGGCCAAUGCACAGAGUAAUUGCUGCUCAAGAUUACUUAUGACACAAAUGUUGACAUUCUGUUGGCAUAACUUGCAAUAAUGUAUGCAGAUUGCAUCCUUCUAGUGCCUUAAUUAUUACUUCUCCGCAAGAAAUAGUCAGGUUAUCCUCUGCUUUGAUUUGAAGGAGAUAAUUCCACCUUGAAGCACAGUUCUUUAGAGAAGGGCAGGAGAGGAAAGGAACGGCCCAAAAUGCUGUUAUCAUGGCUUUUUCUCCACAUGGGAUGAGUUUGUAGCUCAACCUUGGCUACAUCUUCCUCCUUUUUUCUGCCUCACUGUGGGAGUGGGGAGGUCUCUUUCAAGGUGAAACUUUCCCUGGGAAAACAGAGAAGUGCCGCAUUUAAUGAGCCAAGACAGAUGUCCUAUUCAACAGCCAGCAGCAUGCAUGAAAGUACUUAGUAUUUAUUAUCUACAGCAUGACAGUGUCUGGAGUCCACAACCAAGGCUGAGGUUUUGUUGGGCUGUUAGAUAAAAUUCCUAACCCACGAAGCUUAAGUUAUACAUGAAACAGGAGGCAGAGUGUAGGGAAAGGAAAAAGAGAUCCAUCUGCAAAGCACAGAUCAAUGAAGAAACCCAAAACAGAAAAACAAUAAAUUUAACACCUUCCCCUUAAGAGCUUGCAUUUUGUCUCUAGCUAAAAGAAUCCUGGGAAGCCUGAGAAAUUAUUAUACAGAAAUGCUGUUUUCAGACAAGUUUAUACGAGAAGAACAACAAAGAGCUCUAGAAACCCAGUCUGGGAAUGGAAGCACGUGGCUCAGAUUCUCCUACAUGUAUAACAUUAUAAUUUUAUUUUUAUAAACUGACUAACACCUGAAGACAUUCAGAAUAGAAAAUAGGACAGAGGAAAAUAUCUUGCAAAGUAUAUCCUUGGAGAAUACAGUUGCACAGCAACAGAGGAUGUAUUCCUGGAGCUCUGGAUAUAAAACCGCUAAGGACUCAUGUUUCAUACAUGGGGGAAGGAAAAUGCUCCAUGCCUUUGCAAGGUGGGGAAAAUGUCUCUGCAAGAGGAUGUGCCACUGCUUUGAUGUGCAGAUAAAGUUAUUUCUUUUUCCUGGCCAAAGUCCUUUCAAAUUUUUGAGUUAUGCAAAGAUUUACUCUGUCCUGCUUUUUAUACUGACUCAUAUUUUCUGGUAUCCUGCACUAAUACCCAAUGGCUUGGAGAAAUCAUGUCAGUCUGUCCUUCACCUAGACCCAGAUCCUAAAUACUACAGAAUGUAUGUAGCCACCAGUGAAAAUCUCAGUGGAGAAGGAAAACCCCUUCUCAGACCUGCCCAAGUUACCCACGUAGCUUGAACUGAGAUCUCCUUCUCAGGCUUGCUUGGUAAUUGAUUCCAUUAUUAUAUAGGGAAAUAACUAACUUUCUUAAAAAGAAUGGGAGCCUGGUGAAUUCCUUGACUCAGUAACCUCCCUAAAGCCCUGGACUGUGAAUGUCACCCUUAAGGUGGGUGCACCUCCCCAAGCUGCCUUUUCGGUUUCUCUAAUUGUGUCUGUAUUCUUGCACUGUCUGAUGGAAAAGGAACAGGUCUGCUCAGAUUAAACUGAAAGGGAUUGUGAGAAACAAGUCUCCUGAGAUAAUAUGGGGAAGAUAAUUGACAUCAUUGGGAGCAUUCAAUUUCUGUAAGUCCUUUUUGGUCAGGAGGGAUCAAUUUUCCAGGAUCAAGAUAAAAACGGAGCCCCCCUAAAUCAUUUCCUAUCAUUGUCCCAGAAGCCAAUAAGCACGAGGAGCCGUGACCAUUCUUCCCUCCUGGGGACAGCUGAAUCGAAACCUGAAAGUUAAGUAACACACUUAGAUACUAUGGUGAUCAAGUUCUCCCACAAUUGUAGGCACAGUCAGUGAAUAAUAAAUCAUCUUGUUUUUGAACGGUUUGAACUCUACCUUUCCAAAGCAGAGCGAGAGAGGUUUAAGAAAAGAUAGAUCUAAUUAUUUCUGUGGGAUCUUGGUGGUACCAUCCCAACAGCUCCAACACAGCUGCGGGUCUGCAUUGCAAUGCGUCCCUUAGCAUCAAUGUUGCUGUGUGCCAGGCUGGAGAUGACAGUUCAGCAGUAAAAAUGAAGUUGAACAAGAUCAUGGCGUUGUGAGUGUUUUACUCAGUUUUUGAAACAGCAGCUGACCUGGCAGGACUCUCCUUCAUGAACCAAUUUCACUCUGCCUUAUUCAAUAAAUGCACAAACCG
ensembl:lncRNA